GAUGAACGCUGGCGGCGUGCCUAAUACAUGCAAGUCGAGCGAACAGACGAGGAGCUUGCUCCUCUGACGUUAGCGGCGGACGGGUGAGUAACACGUGGAUAACCUACCUAUAAGACUGGGAUAACUUCGGGAAACCGGAGCUAAUACCGGAUAAUAUAUUGAACCGCAUGGUUCAAUAGUGAAAGACGGUUUUGCUGUCACUUAUAGAUGGAUCCGCGCCGCAUUAGCUAGUUGGUAAGGUAACGGCUUACCAAGGCAACGAUGCGUAGCCGACCUGAGAGAGUGAUCGGCCACACUGGAACUGAGACACGGUCCAGACUCCUACGGGAGGCAGCGGUAGGGAAUCUUCCGCAAUGGGCGAAAGCUUGACGGAGCAACGCCGCGUGAGUGAUGAAGGUCUUCGGAUCGUAAAACUCUGUUAUUAGGGAAGAACAAAUGUGUAAGUAACUAUGCACGUCUUGACGGUACCUAAUCAGAAAGCCACGGCUAACUACGUG
rnacentral:rRNA from 1 species